GUUCCACAAACCGCCUCCAGAUCUUGCCCGGAACUGCAGGGAUGAGAAUGGGGCCUGGAACAUGAGGUUAUGACCGCCAGUCCCUUGGAGGAGGAAAAAGUUGAUCUAGAACCAAGGACAAGCCAACUUCUACUUACUAUGAAGAAAAACAUCCUAAAAAUUACAGAAUGGGUUGCCUCAGGAUGUGGUGGGUUUUCCCUCCUUUUGAAGAUCUUCCAACAGAAGUUAGACAACCAUUUGUGGGGAAUUGUGGGACUCUUGUGAUGGUGGCGAAUUCCUUUUGGGUGAGAUGGAUUAAAUGACUAAUGAGUUUUCUUCAAACUCUCAAA